rnacentral:rRNA from 1 species
UAUUUUAAAGAGAGUUUGAUCCUGGCUCAGGACGAACGCUGGCGGCGUGCCUAAUACAUGCAAGUCGAACGAACGGAGGAAGAGCUUGCUCUUCCAAAGUUAGUGGCGGACGGGUGAGUAACACGGGGGCAACCUGCCUGUAAGUUGGGGAUAACUCCGGGAAACCGGGGCUAAUACCGAAUGAUAAAGUGUGGCGCAUGCCACGCUUUUGAAAGAUGGUUUCGGCUAUCGCUUACAGAUGGGCCCGCGGUGC